AUGAAGCGGAACCAAGAAGAAGCGCGCGGCCACCUCCUCGCCGGGACCGCCUCCCGCCACGACGCUGCGGACGCGGAGGCGCCGGCGCCGAUCACCAAGGGAUGCGCGACGUUCUGGGUGGGCGCGGAGGAGGAGGGCGAGGCGCCGCGGCGGUUCGCGGUGCCGGUGGCGCUGCUCUGCCACCCCCUGAUCCUGGAGCUGCUCGGGGAGGCGCGGGACAAGUACGGGUACGCGCACGAAGGCGCCAUCGUCGUCCCCUGCGGCAUCGAGCGGUUCCAGAAGGCGGUCGACGCGGCGAGGGCCCAAGAACGGCACCGUCACCACCACCAUCAUCACUUCAGUCUUCCUCACCUUGCCGGGUGCUUUAGGCCCUCGCACGCUGUUGCUUAG
rnacentral:rRNA from 1 species